AGUGAACGCUGGCGGUAGGCCUAACACAUGCAAGUCGAACGGCAGCACAGUAAGAGCUUGCUCUUACGGGUGGCGAGUGGCGGACGGGUGAGGAAUACAUCGGAAUCUACUUUUUCGUGGGGGAUAACGUAGGGAAACUUACGCUAAUACCGCAUCCGACCUACGGGUGAAAGCAGGGGAUCUUCUGACCUUGUGCGAUUGAAUGAGCCGAUGUCGGAUUAGCUAGUUGGCGGGGUAAAGACCCACCAAGGCGACGAUCCGUAGCUGGUCUGAGAGGAUGAUCAGCCACACUGGAACUGAGACACGGUCCAGACUCCUAAGGGAGGCAGCAGUGGGGAAUAUUGGACAAUGGGCGCAAGCCUGAUCCAACCAUACCGCGUAGGUGAAGAAGGCCUUCGGGUUGUAAAGCCCUUUUGUUGGGAAAGAAAAGCAGCAGGUUGAUACCCCGCUGUACUGACGGUACCCAAAGAAUAAGCACCGGCUAACUUCGUG
rnacentral:rRNA from 1 species